UACGGAGGGGGCUAGCGUUGUUCGGAAUUACUGGGCGUAAAGCGCACGUAGGCGGCUUUGUAAGUUAGAGGUGAAAGCCCAGGGCUCAACCCUGGAAUUGCCUUUAAGACUGCAUCGCUUGAAUCAUGGAGAGGUGAGUGGAAUUCCGAGUGUAGAGGUGAAAUUCGUAGAUAUUCGGAAGAACACCAGUGGCGAAGGCGGCUACCUGGACCGGUUCUGACGCUGAUGCGCGAAAGCGUGGGUAGCAAACAGG
rnacentral:rRNA from 1 species